rnacentral:rRNA from 1 species
GAGUUUGAUCGUGGCUCAGAUUGAACGCUGGCGGAAUGCUUUACACAUGCAAGUCGAGCGGCAGCGCGGGGCAACCUGGCGGCGAGCGGCGAACGGGUGAGUAAUGCAUCGGAACAUGUCCAUGGUCGUGGGGAUAGCCCGGCGAAAGCCGGAUUAAUACCGCAUACGCCCGAGAGGGGAAAGUGGGGACCGCAAGGCCUCACGCGAUUGGUUGGCCGAUGUCCGAUUAGCUAGUUGGCGGGUAAAGCCCACCAAGGCGAUGAUCGGUAGCUGGUCUGAGAGGAUGAUCAGCCACACUGGGACUGAGACACGGCCCAGACUCCUACGGGAGGCAGCAGUGGGGAAUUUUGGACAAGUGGGGCAACCCUGAUCCAGCCAUUUCGCGUGAGUGAAGAAGGCCUUCGGUUG